UGGGGAAUAUUGCACAAUGGGCGAAAGCCUGAUGCAGCAACGCCGCGUGAGUGAUGAAGGUCUUCGGAUUGUAAAGCUCUGUCUUUUGGGACGAUAAUGACGGUACCAAAGGAGGAAGCCACGGCUAACUACGUGCCAGCAGCCGCGGUAAUACGUAGGUGGCGAGCGUUGUCCGGAUUUACUGGGCGUAAAGGGUGCGUAGGCGGAUGUUUAAGUGAGAUGUGAAAUACCCGGGCUUAACUUGGGUGCUGCAUUUCAAACUGGAUAUCUAGAGUGCAGGAGAGGAGAAUGGAAUUCCUAGUGUAGCGGUGAAAUGCGUAGAGAUUAGGAAGAACACCAGUGGCGAAGGCGAUUCUCUGGACUGUAACUGACGCUGAGGCACGAAAGCGUGGGUAGCAAACAGGAUUAGAUACCCUGGUAGUCCACGCCGUAAACGAUGAGUACUAGGUGUAGGAGGUAUCGACCCCUUCUGUGUCGCAGU
rnacentral:rRNA from 1 species